rnacentral:rRNA from 1 species
UACGUAGGGCGCAAGCGUUGUCCGGAAUUACUGGGCGUAAAGCGCGCGUAGGCGGACCUGCAAGUCGGGGGUGAAAGCCCGAGGCUUAACCUCGGAACUGCCUUCGAUACUGCGGGUCUCGAGUCCGGGAGAGGUGAGUGGAAUUCCUAGUGUAGAGGUGAAAUUCGUAGAUAUUAGGAAGAACACCAGUGGCGAAGGCGGCUCACUGGCCCGGUACUGACGCUGAGGCGCGAAAGCGUGGGGAGCAAACAGG